ACGAACGCUGGCGGCAUGCCUAACACAUGCAAGUCGAACGAGACCUUCGGGUCUAGUGGCGCACGGGUGCGUAACGCGUGGGAACCUGCCCUUAGGUUCGGAAUAACUCCCCGAAAGGGGCGCUAAUACCGGAUAAUGUCUUCGGACCAAAGAUUUAUCGCCUUUGGAUGGGCCCGCGUUGGAUUAGCUAGUUGGUAGGGUAAAAGCCUACCAAGGCGACGAUCCAUAGCUGGUCUGAGAGGAUGAUCAGCCACACUGGGACUGAGACACGGCCCAGACUCCUACGGGAGGCAGCAGUGGGGAAUAUUGGACAAUGGGCGAAAGCCUGAUCCAGCAAUGCCGCGUGAGUGAUGAAGGCCUUAGGGUUGUAAAGCUCUUUUACCCGGGAUGAUAAUGACAGUACCGGGAGAAUAAGCUCCGGCUAACUCCGUG
rnacentral:rRNA from 1 species